UUGAUUGGAGAUUUUUCUUGUUCCUCCUCCAGCCUAACGAGGCAUGCAAUUCUGGCUUUUGAACGGGAGUGGAGAAGAUGAUUUUGGUGGUUUUUGGUUUUGGGUGGGUGGGGUGUGAGUGGAGAAGAUGAAUAUUUUUCCUUUUUUAUUUUUUAUUUUGAAGGGAAAAUGUGAAAUGUCUAUAGUCAUCAUCUUAUUUGGUGAAAAUUAUUAGGUUUUUCAUUUUGGGGUCAAAUAGUGGUUUUGGUGGUUAAAUAGACGGAAAUCGCCAAUUUGGAUUGGACCUACGAUUUUUUGAAAGGUUUGGUAGCUACGGUGGUAUAAAUGGAAGGUUUAAGUCAAGUUUGCAACAAAAUGAAAGGUAUGGGAUCUUGACUACAAUUCUCCUGUAAUAAAUUAUAUUUCUGGGUCCAAGUUGUUACCUAUACAUCACAUAUAUUUAUUUAAGAGUGUGUUUGUCACACAUUAUUUGGGAAGAAUGUAUUAUGGAAUAGUGAUUGAUGUUGAAAUGUGUGAUUAAAAAA
rnacentral:lncRNA from 1 species